rnacentral:snRNA from 1 species
UCGCUCGUGUUUCGUCACAAGAACCGAGAUGGUUUUUCGCCUUUUACUAAAGACCACCGUGGGACGGAACAUUUAAUUGAGCUUUGAAUCAAUUUUUGAAAAGUCCGUUAAUUCGGAUUU